rnacentral:rRNA from 1 species
ACAGGGAGGUAGUGACAAGAAAUAACAAUACAGGACUUUUUGGUUUUGUAAUUGGAAUGAGUUAAGUAUAAACCCCUUUACAAGUAUCAAUUGGAGGGCAAGUCUGGUGCCAGCAGCCGCGGUAAUUCCAGCUCCAAUAGCGUAUAUUAAAGUUGUUGCAGUUAAAAAGCUCGUAGUUGGAUUUCUGUUAAUAAUUUAUAUAAAAUAUUUUGAUGAAUAUUUAUAUAAUAUUAACAUAAUUCAUAUUACUAUUUUUUUUAGUAUAUGAAAUUUUACUUUGAGAAAAUUAGAGUGCUUAAAGCAGGCAUAUGCCUUGAAUACUCCAGCAUGGAAUAAUAUUAAAGAUUUUUAUCUUUCUUAUUGGUUCUAAGAUAAGAAUAAUGAUUAAUAGGGACAGUUGGGGGCAUUUGUAUUUAACAGUCAGAGGUGAAAUUCUUAGAUUUGUUAAAGACAAACUAAUGCGAAAGCAUUUGCCAAGGAUGUUUUCAUUAAUCAAGAACGAAAGUUAGGGGAUCGAAGACGAUCAGAUACCGUCGUAGUCUUAACCAUAAACUAUGCCAACUAGAGAUUGGAGGUUGUUCCUUACUCCUU